rfam:Myotis lucifugus cont2.2624, whole genome shotgun sequence.
GGCAAUUCUUGGGUGACGUACCCUGAAAUUGGGCUCCCUCCUCUCUGGUUCUGGGUGCAUCAUCCGAGAACCGCA